GACGAACGCUGGCGGCGUGCUUAACACAUGCAAGUCGAACGGAAAGGCCCUGCUUUUGUGGGGUGCUCGAUUGGCGAACGGGUGAGUAACACGUGAGUAACCUGCCCUUGACUUUGGGAUAACUUCAGGAAACUGGGGCUAAUACCGGAUAUGAUCUCCUGCUGCAUGGUGGGGGUUGGAAAGUUUCGGCGGUUGGGGAUGGUCUCGCGGCUUAUCAGCUUGUUUGUGGGGUAGUGGCAUACCAAGGCUUUGACGGGUAGCCGGCCUGAGAGGGUGACCGGCGACAUUGGGACUGAGAUACGGACCAGACUCCAACGGGAGGCAGCAGUGGGGAAUAUUGCAGAAUGGGCGGAAGCCUGAGGCAGCGACGCCGCGUGCGGGAUGACGGGCUUCGGGUUGUAAACCGCUUUCGCCUGUGACGAAGCGUGAGUGACGGUAAUGGGUAAAGAAGCACCGGCUAACUACGUG
rnacentral:rRNA from 1 species